AGCGAGCGCUGGCGGCAGGCUUAACACAUGCAAGUCGAGCGGGCACUUUCGGGUGUCAGCGGCGGACGGGUGAGUAACGCGUGGGAACGUGCCCUCUGGUUCGGAAUAACUCAGGGAAACUUGAGCUAAUACCGGAUACGCCCUUUUGGGGAAAGGCUUGCUGCCGGAGGAUCGGCCCGCGUCUGAUUAGCUAGUUGGUGAGGUAACGGCUCACCAAGGCGACGAUCAGUAGCUGGUCUGAGAGGAUGAUCAGCCACACUGGGACUGAGACACGGCCCAGACUCCUACGGGAGGCAGCAGUGGGGAAUAUUGGACAAUGGGCGCAAGCCUGAUCCAGCCAGGCCGCGUGAGUGAUGAAGGCCUUAGGGUUGUAAAGCUCUUUUAUCCGGGACGAUAAUGACGGUACCGGAGGAAUAAGCCCCGGCUAACUUCGU
rnacentral:rRNA from 1 species